rnacentral:rRNA from 1 species
AGAGUUUGAUCCUGGCUCAGGAUGAACGCUGGCGGCGUGCUUAACACAUGCAAGUCGAACGGGCUCAUAUUGAAACCUAGUGAUUUAUGAGUUAGUGGCGGACGGGUGAGUAACGCGUGGAAAACCUGCCGUAUACUGGGGGAUAACGCUUAGAAAUAGGUGCUAAUACCGCAUAAGCGCACAGCUUCGCAUGAAGUGGUGUGAAAAACUCCGGUGGUAUACGAUGGUUCCGCGUCUGAUUAGCUUGUUGGCGGGGUAAUGGCUCACCAAGGCGACGAUCAGUAGCCGGCCUGAGAGGGUGAACGGCCACAUUGGGACUGAGACACGGCCCAAACUCCUACGGGAGGCAGCAGUGGGGAAUAUUGCACAAUGGGGGAAACCCUGAUGCAGCGACGCCGCGUGAGUGAAGAAGUAUUUCGGUAUGUAAAGCUCUAUCAGCAGGGAAGAAAUAGCGACCUUUGGGUCGCCAGACGGUACCUGAUUAAGAAGCCCCGGCUA